rnacentral:rRNA from 1 species
AUGAAAAGCUUAUCUUGGGCCCUUGCAGCAUCAAAAAAAUUCUAUAGAUGGAUCCUUGGGGAUGGCAAGAGUAUUGCCUUCUGGCAUGAUAUUUGGAUUGGGGAUUGCUCUCUUAAAACUUCAUUUUGGGACCUGUAUGAUAUCUGUCAACAGCAAGAGUCUACUCUUGCACAGGUCUGGGUGAGUGGUGAACUUCAUCUUACUUCAAGGAGAUGUGUGGAGGAAAAGACUUUAGCUAGAUGGGAUGAACUCAAUAAUUUAGUUAAGCAAGUUGCAUUAUCUGAUUCUGCAGAUCAACCUAUUUGGAUGCUCGAAUCUUCCAGCAAGUACUCUAUCAAAUCUUUUUAUAAAUUACUCAAUUUGGGGGGGGGGGGUCUGUUGAUUAAAGAUGAUAUCUGGAAAAUCAAAGUCCCACCUAAUAUCCAUGUUUUUCCAUGGUUCAUUUACUAUAAUAAGAGCUUAACUAGAGAUAAUCUUGCCAAGCGUAGGCAUGUAGAUGACAUGUCCUGUUUCUUCUGUAAUGAGCGUGAGACUAUCCAACAUCUUUUCUUUGAUUGCAUUGUUGCUAGGCAGGUUUGGGAUUGGGUAGCUGAUAGCUUUAAUGUGGUUAAGCCUGAUUCCUUUGCUUUGCUUUCUUCCUUUUGGAAGAGGAGGAAACAUUUUGAAGCUUUGAACAUUUUUACUGCUACUGCCUUGUGGAGCUUAUGGCGUUUGCGAAAUGAUUUUGUUUUCCAGGGGUGA